GGCAAAGCGGAAGUGAAUCUAGCACCCAGCACAGACCCUAAAGCAAGGAACGAAGUCAAACUCUACACAGGAAUUUAGAAUGGGAAG